rnacentral:rRNA from 1 species
AAUCCAUAGGUUAAUGAGGCGAACCGGGGGAACUGAAACAUCUAAGUACCCCGAGGAAAAGAAAUCAACCGAGAUUCCCCCAGUAGCGGCGAGCGAACGGGGAGGAGCCCAGAGCCUGAAUCAGCAUGUGUGUUAGUGGAAGCGUCUGGAAAGGCGCGCGAUACAGGGUGACAGCCCCGUACACAAAAGCGCAUGUGCUGUGAGCUCGAUGAGUAGGGCGGGACACGUGGUAUCCUGUCUGAAUAUGGGGGGACCAUCCUCCAAGGCUAAAUACUCCUGACUGACCGAUAGUGAACCAGUACCGUGAGGGAAAGGCGAAAAGAACCCCGGCGAGGGGAGUGAAAAAGAACCUGAAACCGUGUACGUACAAGCAGUGGGAGCACCCUUUGGGUGUGACUGCGUACCUUUUGUAUAAUGGGUCAGCGACUUAUAUUCUGUAGCAAGGUUAACCGAAUAGGGGAGCCGGAGGGAAACCGAGUCUUAACCGGGCGUUAAGUUGCAGGGUAUAGACCCGAAACCCGGUGAUCUAGCCAUGGGCAGGUUGAAGGUUGGGUAACACUAACUGGAGGACCGAACCGACUAAUGUUGAAAAAUUAGCGGAUGACCUGUGGCUGGGGGUGAAAGGCCAAUCAAACCGGGAGAUAGCUGGUUCUCCCCGAAAGCUAUUUAGGUAGCGCCUCGUGAAUUCAUCUCCGGGGGUAGAGCACUGUUUCGGCUAGGGGGCCAUCCCGGCUUACCAACCCGAUGCAAACUGCGAAUACCGGAGAAUGUUAUCACGGGAGACACACGGCGGGUGCUAACGUCCGUCGUGAAGAGGGAAACAACCCAGACCGCCAGCUAAGGUCCCAAAGUCAUGGUUAAGUGGGAAACGAUGUGGGAAGGCCCAGACAGCCAGGAUGUUGGCUUAGAAGCAGCCAUCAUUUAAAGAAAGCGUAAU